rnacentral:rRNA from 1 species
UGGGGAAUUUUGCACAAUGGGGGAAACCCUGAUGCAGCGACGCCGCGUGAUUUAGAAGGCCUUCGGGUUGUAAAAAUCUUUUUUACGGGAUGAAAAUGACAGUACCGUAAGAAUAAGGUCCGGCUAAAUACGUGCCAGCAGCCGCGGUAAUACGUAUGGACCGAGCGUUGUCCGGAAUCAUUGGGCGUAAAGGGUACGUAGGCGGCCUAGUAAGUUAGAAGUGAAAUAAUAUAGCUCAACUAUAUAAAGCUUUUAAAACUGCUAGGCUUGAGAGAGGGAAGGGAAAGUGGAAUUCCUAGUGUAGCGGUGAAAUGCGCAGAUAUUAGGAAGAAUACCGGUGGCGGAGGCGACUUUCUGGUCAUCAUCUGACGCUGAGGUACGAAAGCGUGGGUAGCAAACAAG